UACGUAGGGGGCAAGCGUUGUCCGGAUUUAUUGGGCGUAAAGAGCGUGUAGGCGGCCAGGUAGGUCCGUUGUGAAAACUCGAGGCUCAACCUCGAGACGUCGGCGGAAACCCUCUGGCUAGAGUCCGGAAGAGGAGAGUGGAAUUCCUGGUGUAGCGGUGAAAUGCGCAGAUAUCAGGAAGAACACCCGUGGCGAAGGUGGCUCUCUGGGACGGUACUGACGCUGAGACGCGAAAGCGUGGGGAGCGAACAGG
rnacentral:rRNA from 1 species